GCGGUAACAUUAUCGUAGCUUGCUAGAAGAUGACGAGCGGCGGACGGGUGAGUAAUACUUAGGAAUCUACCUAGUAGUGGGGGAUAGCUCGGGGAAACUCGAAUUAAUACCGCAUACGACCUACGGGAGAAAGGGGGCAACUUGUUGCUCUCGCUAUUAGAUGAGCCUAAGUCGGAUUAGCUAGAUGGUGGGGUAAAGGCCUACCAUGGCGACGAUCUGUAGCUGGUCUGAGAGGAUGAUCAGCCACACCGGGACUGAGACACGGCCCGGACUCCUACGGGAGGCAGCAGUGGGGAAUAUUGGACAAUGGGGGAAACCCUGAUCCAGCCAUGCCGCGUGUGUGAAGAAGGCCUUUUGGUUGUAAAGCACUUUAAGCAGUGAAGAAGACUCUUCAGUUAAUACCCGGAGACGAUGACGUUAGCUGCAGAAUAAGCACCGGCUAACUCUGUGCCAGCAGCCGCGGUAAUACACAGGGUGCAAGCGUUAAUCGGAAUUACUGGGCGUAAAG
rnacentral:rRNA from 1 species